ACGAACGCUGGCGGCGUGCUUAACACAUGCCAGUCGAACGAUGAAGCGGGUGCUUGCACUCGUGGAUUAGUGGCGAACGGGCGAGUAACACGUGAGUAACCUGUCCUUUUCUUUGGGAUAACGGCUGGAAACGGCUGCUAAUACUGGAUAUUCAGGCUGCAUCGCAUGGUGUGGUUUGGAAAGGUUUUUUCUGGGAUUGGGUGGGCUCGCGGCCUAUCAGCUUGUUGGUGGGGUGAUGGCUUACCAAGGCUUUGACGGGUAGCCGGCCUGAGAGGGUGGUCGGUCGCACUGGGACUGAGAUACGGCCCAGACUCCUACGGGAGGCAGCAGUGGGGAAUAUUGCACAAUGGACGAAAGUUUGAUGCAGCGACGCCGCGUGGAGGGUGUAGGCCUUCGGGUUGUGAACUCCUUUUUCUCGCGAAAAAGGCACAGUUUUGGCUGUGUUGAUGGUAGUGGGGGAAGAAGCGCCGGCUAACUACGUG
rnacentral:rRNA from 1 species